GGUAUUUUACCCACUUAAAUUGAUAAAAGGCGUGGCAUGAGGGUAAAGUGCCCGCCAUAUGUUUUGAUGAUUCACUCUUCCAUCCACAACUACCUCUCCUAUCUCUUUUAUUCUCAAUUUCUUGUCAAAUCUUCUUUUAGAUAUGUGUUUUUCAUUUCAAUCUUAAUCAAAUAAAUUCUUCAAGAAAAAACAACAACAACAACAACAACAACAAUAAUAAUAAUAAUAAUAAUAAUAAUAACUACUUCAAGAUAUCUAGCAAUGGAAUUUGGGGUUUAAGUGGGAGUACACAUAAGGAAGAAACAAGUAAAGCUAGUGAAUUACCAAUUUUCCAUCUUGUUAAAAUUCAUCUAAGGUUGAAAGCAUACUCAAUCGUAUUAUGGUCAUCUUGGUAUUUGACUUUUGCGGAUGAGGUGAGUACUUUUAUAUAUGAUUAUUCACAUGUUGGGUCAAUUACACAUGAUGAUGGUGGAAUCUAUAUGUAGUACUUAGAUGACGUGAUAAAGACCAUACGGGGUAUGGCAAUGUAAUUUGGAUGUGAAGGAGAUAUUUGGUUAAUUGUUUGAAUGUGUAGAAAUAUAUAUAUUUGCGUAAUUGUGUAGAAUUCAUGAUUGAGACCCAUGGUAAAGUGAUGAAUGUACGAUAAGAUGAUAUAAGACCAUAUGGGAUAUGGCAAUGUGUUUGAAUGUUGGAUAGUAUGUUUUAUAUGAUGAUUGAUUACAUGGUUUCACAUUGUUGUGUUGAUAUGAAGGUGUUUAUGGAUGAAAUAAUUGUGUGGUAAUAUAGGUUCUAUUUCUCAUCCUUUUGUAUUUGAUUUCAAUUUGUGCAUAUUUGUGUAUAAACGUACUCACUAAGCGUUAAGCUUGUCCUUUUAGUUGUUUACCUUUUUAUAGGUGGUUCCGAUAGUAAGAACAACUUGUAAUUUGCUAGAAGGUGAGUUGGAGCUUUUGGUGCAUAGAAGGUUUUGGACCAUUUCAUGGAGAAAUGGUAAUUGGUAGAAACCUAGUUACUCCUCUCUUCAACUCUUGGUUGUCGAUACUUGUGUCAUGUUGAUGGUAAUGUUGUAUAUGAUGAAUUUCAAGUCUAUAAGUCAACAAUUUCCUGGUCAUUUGAAGUACAAAUCAAUUUGGUGUUACAUCGCCCAUUUUGCCACUUAGGGUAAAUGACCCGUUUGGUUGUAAAUUGUAGCUUUUGAACAAUUCAAGAAAGAAAAUGUCCUUUAUGGUUGUAAGUCAA